CCUACGGGCGGCAGCAGUGAGGAAUAUUGGUCAAUGGGCUUACGCCUGAACCAGCCAAGUCGCGUGAGGGAAGACUGCCCUAUGGGUUGUAAACCUCUUUUGUCAGGGAGCAAUUGGCGCUACGUGAAGCGUUAUCGAGAGUACCUGAAGAAAAAGCAUCGGCUAACUCCGUGCCAGCAGCCGCGGUAAUACGGGGAUGCGAGCGUUAUCCGGAUUUAUUGGGUUUAAAGGGUGCGUAGGCGGAAUGCAAAGUCAGCGGUAAAAUCGCGGGGCUCAACCUCGCUCUGCCGUUGAAACUGGCGGUCUUGAGUGCGCAAGGAGUAGGCGGAAUGCGUGGUGUAGCGGUGAAAUGCAUAGAUAUCACGCAGAACUCCGAUUGCGAAGGCAGCAUACCGGCGCCCAACUGACGCUGAAGCACGAAAGCGCGGGUAUCGAACAGGAUUAGAUACCCUGGUAGUC
rnacentral:rRNA from 1 species